rnacentral:ribozyme from 1 species
GGCGGGGGCCUCCGAGGCCCCCGCCCUCUUAAUGCAGCCCGCGGCUGGAACCGCGGCCGGUCGCAAGCCCGGGUGAAUGCAGAGCGCGGG